rnacentral:rRNA from 1 species
UACGUGAGGGGGCAAGCGUUGUCCGGAAUUAUUGGGCGUAAAGAGCGCGUAGGCGGUCCGAUAAGUCGGCUGUGAAAGUCAGGGGCUCAACCCUUGGAAGCCGGCCGAUACUGUCGGACUAGAGUCCGGAAGAGGCGAGUGGAAUUCCCGGUGUAGCGGUGAAAUGCGGCAGAUAUCGGGAGGAACACCGGUGGCGAAGGCGGUUCUCUGGGCCUGACCUGACGCUGAGGAGCGAAAGCGUGGGGAGCGAACGGAUAGAUAC